GCUGAGGUAGUUUAAGUUUUAAAAUUAGAUGUUAGGGGCGUUUAGAUUUUUUUCAGUU
rnacentral:tRNA from 1 species